rnacentral:rRNA from 1 species
GGAAAAGAAACUAACAAGGAUUCCCCUAGUAACGGCGAGUGAAGCGGGAAGAGCUCAAAUUUGAAAUCUGGUAGCCUUCGGUUGCCCGAGUUGUAAUCUAGAGAAGUGUUUUCCGUGCCGGCCCAUGUACAAGUCCCUUGGAACAGGGCGUCAUAGAGGGUGAGAAUCCCGUCCUUGACAUGGACCCCCGGUGCUUUGUGAUACACUUUCAACGAGUCGAGUUGUUUGGGAAUGCAGCUCAAAAUGGGUGGUGAAUUCCAUCUAAAGCUAAAUAUUGGCGAGAGACCGAUAGCGAACAAGUACCGUGAGGGAAAGAUGAAAAGCACUUUGGAAAGAGAGUUAAACAGUACGUGAAAUUGUUGAAAGGGAAACGAUUGAAGUCAGUCAUGCUCUUGGGACUUACCUCCCUUGAGUGGGGUCAACAUCAGUUUUGAUCGAUGGAUAAAGGCACUAGG